rnacentral:lncRNA from 1 species
GAUUAACAUGGCAUGAAAUACAAUGAUCAUAUAGAAGCCAAAAGAAUGUUUCCAAGUGUUCUUUGCUUUCAUACAACACAAGAUUUAUGAUUGGUUUUUACACCCAAACUAAAUCAUAUGACAAGUUUAUCCGAAAAAGAUAUAUUAUUAAGAUAAAUAUAUUUGCUAGGAUAUAUCUGAAAAUUUAUCUUACUUAAAUCCCCUCUUUUCACUAACUCUUCCCAGGUUCUUUAAGCUUAUCAUGUUUAGGCUAUCCUCCAUAAUUUAGCUUUGACCUAGUAUCAAUGUACAAAUACCAUGAUGGACUCAAGUCUGGGUCCAUGAAGGUGUAGCUUUUGUGGUGUGCAUACCAUGACAGGAUGAUCAAAUCCAAAGCUAGGUUGGCACGAGCACAUAGGCACUUUCCCAGAAUCCAAGACCAUGUUGGCACAACCAUGUGGUCCAGUUUGGCCCAAAUCCAAGGUCGUGUUGGUGUGAGCACAUUAGCUAAAAGAGUGUGAGCACAUUAGCUAAAAGAGCCCAGUAUGACUCUGGCUAGGCAUGGAUGUAACCUCAGCUACCUGGCUUGGCCUUCCCCCCUCUAACGAACUCAUCUCCCUCUUUCGGCUCCCCCUCACCUCAAUUGACUGUCAUGAGUGUCCUAUCAUCGUCUUCCUCUCAAUCAACCCUACCUCCACCUCCUCCCAACCUCCCUUUCCUAGAUGCUGCCAUCACCACUUCAUCCUUCUCUUCAGAACAACCCACCCCAACCUCCCCUUCACCUCCUUUGGUCACUACCUCCUCUCAACUAUCCCUCUUCCACUACCUCCUUUGGCAGCCUCAACAGAGGAGUCUGUCCUAAGCCAGUCUGGCCCAAUUCAUGUUACAUUUCAAGGCUGUAGACAUAC